rnacentral:rRNA from 1 species
UACGUAGGGUGCAGGCGUUAAUCGGAAUUACUGGGCGUAAAGCGUGCGCAGGCGGUUUGCUAAGACAGGUGUGAAAUCCCCCGGGCUUAACCUGGGAACUGCGCUUGUAACUGGCAAGCUAGAGUGUGGCAGAGGGGGGUGGAAUUCCACGUGUAGCAGUGAAAUGACGUAGAGAUGUGGAGGAACACCGGAUGGCGAAGGCAGCCCCCUGGGCUAACACCUG